GUACAGCUCCCAAAGCAGUCAAUUGUCUGGCAAUAAAGCGUGAUGGGGCAUGUAACAAUUAUGUAACAGCUGCAGAGACAUCACGGAUAUAAUUUAGUACCUUCUACCACCCUAGGAUAUAAUAAAAGUAAGAUUUAAGUAUGUAUCAAUAAAGCUGACAGAGCAACACCAGAGCAGGCCUUCUUCAGCACAACGCCGCUAAUCAGCCUCAAAAGGAAACGAGGAGAUGCAGAAAAGAGUGGAGAGGAGGAGUAACAGGAGGAGGAAGAAGUAGAGAAGGAAGAGGAAGAGGAGGAGGGAGAAGAGGAAGAAACAGAGAGGAAAGGGGAAAAGAGGAGGGGAAGGAGAAAAAGAAAAAGAAAACUCGUUUGCUCUCCUGCAGGCAUGAUGCAACAGCUAACACCAGCCAGCCUCCUCUGGACUGAAUUCAGGCCGGGAACGCGGGGGUUUCCUGGGCCUGCAGCCCGCGGGGCACGUUCGACCCACAUUCUGCUGUGUGUGUGCACCGUGCGACACGUCACCCUCCCAUCUUUGCACAUGCCCUUGAAUAUUUCUGUGCUUCUGAUUCAUCUGGUCCACAGUUUACACCUCGAGGCACUCUGCUUCUUGUGCCCAGUGGCUAAGAAAUCAGUGAAGAGGACAUGGAGAACCCAAGGGAACACCCCCCCUUUCGCCUUCUGCCAUGAUUGUGAGGCCUCCCCAGCCACGUGGUACUAUGAAUAUUUACCUGAUUGGCAAGCAGAGACCGUCCCUGUUCUUCGGACUUCAAACGCGCUUCCACCUUGGAAACUCCGGCCUGUGUGGAACACACCAAACUCCUCAGUCAGUGCCCAAGGGGCAGGGCCUGUUUUGACAAUCACCACCCAGGUGAACUUUAGGGGAUGGUGGGAAAACUUGUUUAAAAUCGUCAGUUCCACAACUGUGAUCGCUUGCAAUUUAAACAGGUCUCCCUUAAAUAAAUAGUCUUGACUCAAAAUAUCUCCCCUUCUCUUUUUCUUGUCAUUUGCUCCAAUCUCUCAUCUUGUGUCCAACGAGACGCGUACUGUCCUGGCAUCAGAGCAGAGGCUUCUGACCCCUGUGCCCUCUGGCCCCUGCUGCCCCUCCUCCCCUCCCGGCCACGUGCCCUCCGGAACCCUGGAAGUUGAACUGUGGCACCUGCAGAGGUUUCAUUUGACCUGCCCGGCUGCUGGGUCUUUUUCUCUGGCACCUCAUCAAAUCUGUCACUUCUGGUCCUGACCCCAGGCAACUCCCCAUCCGCUGGGCUUCUCAAUAUAUUUUUAGUCCCCUUGUAGAGAGGAGGAUGUUCCAGAACUUCUGGAUGUAUUUCUUGCACCAUGCUGGGGAUGGUAGAAUACACGUGGCUACCACCAACCCCACAGAGAAAGCUCCUCAAAUUUCCUGUCCAGACUAGAAGCUCCAUGGUGCCAGGGCCAUGCUGAACACAGAGUUUCCCUGAAAGACCAUCAGCCUUCCCAGACUUUUCCCCGGAGAGUGAGGUGCAACCUUCCUGCUGCUGGGUCCCCUCGAAAUAUCUGUUCCACCUUCAGCUUCUUCCCUAGCAUUUGGUGGAUAAGGAGUAAAAGGUGUGAAGAUUUCUGGGGCAUGCGCAUUUCCAUCUUCCCCCAGCAUUCUCAAAUCAGCCGAAUUCUACUUUCACAUUUCUUCUCUGAGGGGUGGAAUUUAUAAUGUCAUCUAGAUUUUCUUUUUCCUUUAACGUGUUUGGUACAAAUCUUGUGCAUAGUGUUCUAAGCUUAGUUCUUGAUAUUCAAACCCCACCUUCUUUAGUCCCUAAGAAUGUAUUGUAUUAUUUCCCCCUUAAACUCUGGUUCUUGUCCAUCAAAAUCAGUUUGGUUUUCAGGCUAUAGUUUCUGUUACCUGUUUAAGGAAUCCAUCCAGAUAUUAAAGUUUCCUAUUUCUUCCAGGCUGUAUUUCCAUCCCACUGAGACCAGAGCCUAUCAUUGUCACUAGAAACAAGGGGAAAGAUGAGGGGUGAAAUGGGUGAAAAAAAAUGGAGUAAGUUCUAUCAAAUUGAUGUCACAAAUAUG
rnacentral:lncRNA from 10 species